UGCCAAAGACAAGCUCAGCUGCUCAGC
rnacentral:piRNA from 1 species